AUACGGAGGAUGCGAGCGUUAUCCGGAUUCGAUUGGGUUUAAAGGGUGCGUAGGCGGACUAUUAAGUCAGUGGUGAAAUCCUGCAGCUUAACUGUAGAACUGCCAUUGAUACUGAUAGCCUUGAGUUUGGUUAAGGUAGGCGGAAUGUGUAAUGUAGCGGUGAAAUGCUUAGAUAUUACACAGAACACCAAUUGCGUAGGCAGCUUACUGAGCCGACACUGACGCUGAGGCACGAAAGCGUGGGGAUC
rnacentral:rRNA from 1 species